CAGAUGAAGUACUGUGGGGACUGCUAAAAAUGAGGACGGGAACAAGCAGAGCAGUGCUGGAGGCGAGGGAAAAGGGCAGCUCCAGUAGUAGCCAGAGAGAAUCAUGGUUUUUCCCUGCUGACCUGCAAUUUACAGUUGGCGCACAUCACCGUCAAGCUGCAUUACGCUGCUGCAAGAGCUGCUGGCAGCACCUGAACAGGUCGGAGGAAGGUGCUCCAUUGGUGCUCUGCCACCAGAGCCCCUGUAAUGCAAGGCUUUUAACUCGAGCCUUACUGAUGCUGUAUUUGUUUGGUUUACCAACACUGGACUCGUAUAUUGGGUGGAAUGUUUCCACCACUAUAAGAUUUCAAGGAAGCACUACAACACCGUAUAUGUCGUGAUGGUCAAGAAUGAGAACUGAGAAACAGUCUCCCUGAAUCAGUCACCACAUUCACUGAAGAUCUUAAGGCAAUGUUCAGCAAAGGCUUGUGUUGAUCACCCCUUAGAUCGUUUUUAGCGAUGAGCAA